rnacentral:rRNA from 1 species
CGGGGGCAACCCUGGUGGCGAGUGGCGAACGGGUGAGUAAUGCAUCGGAACGUGCCCAGUUGUGGGGGAUAACCCGGCGAAAGCCGGGCUAAUACCGCAUACGACCUACGGGUGAAAGCGGGGGACCGCAAGGCCUCGCGCUACUGGAGCGGCCGAUGUCUGAUUAGCUAGUUGGCGGGGUAAGAGCCCACCAAGGCGACGAUCAGUAGCUGGUCUGAGAGGACGACCAGCCACACUGGGACUGAGACACGGCCCAGACUCCUACGGGAGGCAGCAGUGGGGAAUUUUGGACAAUGGGCGCAAGCCUGAUCCAGCCAUGCCGCGUGCGGGAAGAAGGCCUUCGGG